AUUGAACGCUGGCGGCAGGCCUAACACAUGCAAGUCGAGCGGAGCGGCGGACGGGUGAGUAAUGCCUAGGAAUCUGCCUGGUAGUGGGGGAUAACGUCCGGAAACGGGCGCUAAUACCGCAUACUAUCAGAUGAGCCUAGGUCGGAUUAGCUAGUUGGUGGGGUAAAGGCCUACCAAGGCGACGAUCCGUAACUGGUCUGAGAGGAUGAUCAGUCACACUGGAACUGAGACACGGUCCAGACUCCUACGGGAGGCAGCAGUGGGGAAUAUUGGACAAUGGGCGAAAGACUGAUGCAGCGACGCCGCGUGGGGGAUGAAGGCUUUCGGGUUGUAAACCUCUUUCGCUAUCGAACGGGUAGGUGGAGAAGAAGCGCCGGCUAACUACGUGCCAGCAGCCGCGGUAAUAC
rnacentral:rRNA from 1 species